rnacentral:lncRNA from 1 species
UUUGUGGUGGAAAUGAUUAUUUGAUUGCGAAAUAGUCCCGCAAUAUGUGAAGGUUCGAUUUAAGUUUUAUACGACCCACUUGACAAUAAUCAUCCUAGAAGGAUCUUAACUGCCAGAAGCAGUAUAACAAACUCUCGAGAACUACACCCUCUCAAAUGGAACAGGGAUUCGGACCAGCAGUCCAACAUAAAAUUAUUUUGACAAAUACAUGUUAUCAUUAUAUAUCAAAUUAUAGGUGACAACUCAUAAAGUCUCUGGCCAGAGCAGAUGAAAACUAGUAUCAUUAUAUAUCAAAUUAUAGGUGACAACUCAUAAAGUCUCUGGCCAGAGCAGAUGGAAACUAGAAUGUGUUUCUAGUUAACAUUGAAUUGAGUUGCACCUGAUUAAAAUACUAUAUGUUAUAUUAUGUGAUAAAAUGUUUCUUGGUGUAUAUAUUGGAAGAAGAAUUUCUCUUUGGAUGAAUGAUAUAUUGUCAUAUGUGAAUCCCACAAGGAUUAUAAAUACACGAUAGUACACUAACUUUUGUGAACACUUGAAAGAAAUUCUCGGUACUGAAGUACCGUAUCUAAGUAAACUACAACAUAUUUUAUCAUACACGUUUUGACAUAAUUAUAAAUUUAUUAAAAGUUGGUUUUCCGCUUUUGAUUAGUAUUCAUUGCUAAGUAAUUGCUCGCUCUAAAGGCGUGUGAAUCUUGAGAGUUUAUUCAAUCUCCACUAAUCAAUCUCAUAAGGUUUUUAAGUUAAUUUUGCAGGAGCAAAGUCCUCAUUUCAAUUAAUAUUAACGGUGGAUCAAAAUUGAUUAAAUUAUAUUGGAGUUUUUCUUUUGGUAUAAAAUGAGUUUUUGCAGGAACUUCUUCCACAAUAUUUUGACUUCGGCAAUCUAAGAUGGCUAAAGCUGGAGAAACAGUGUAGCAUGACAAGGAUGAGAACUCCACCGACUAUAUAUAUAUGAAAGCUCCAC